ensembl:lncRNA
CAGAUAUGUAGAAACUACUACCUUUAAAACCACUUCUGCAGGUCCCACUUCUGUAGAAACCACUACCCUUGGCACCACUUCUGUAGAAACUGCUGCCCUGGAUACCACUUCUCCAGAAACUACUACCCUUGCCACCAUGUUUGUUGAAUCUACCACUCUGGGCACCACUUCUACAGAAACUACUACCUUUGGUACCACUUCUGUAGAAUCUACUAUCCUGGAAACCACUUCUACAGGACCUACUUCUGCAGAAACUGCCCUGGGCACAACUUCUGUUAAAUCUGCCACUCUGGCCACCACUUCUGCAGAAUCCACUACCCUUGGCAGAACUUCUCCAGAAACUAGUACCCUUGGCACCACUUCUGUACAAACUACUACCCUGGGCACAUUCUCUACAGAACCCACUUCUGUGGAAACUAUUACUCUUGGAACCACCUCUGUGGAUGCUACUACCUUUGAAAGCAGUUCUGCAAAAGCCACUACCCUUGGCACAACGUCUGUUGAAUCUACUACUCAGGGCACCAUUUCUGCAAAGAUUACUACCUUUGGCACCAUUUCUGAAAAAACUAGUACCCUUAGCAUGACUUUUGCAGAAACUACUACCCUUACCACCAUUUCUCUUGAAUCUACUACCCUUGAAAACACUUCUGCAGAAACUACUUCUGUAGAAACAACUACCCUUGGCACAACUCCUGCAGAAACUACUACCCUUGGCAUAACUCCUGCAGAAACUACUACUCCAGGUGCAAUGUCUCAAACUGCCACUUGGCACCACUAUUGCAGAAACCACUAUCAUUGGCACCACUUGUGUGAAAAAAACUAUGACAGAUACCGAUUCCUUAGAAUGUACCACCACUUGUACACACACUACCCUCUAGAAACUACUUCUGUAGAAACUACUACCCUUGGCACUACUCCUGCAGAAACUACUACCCUUGGCUUAACUCCUGCAGAAACUACUACUCCGGGCGCAAUGUCUCAAACUGCCACUUGGCACCACUAUUGCAGAAACCACUAUCAUUGGCACCACUUGUGUGAAAAAAACUAUGACAGAUACCGAUUCCUUAGAAUGUACCACCACUUGUACACACACUACCCUCUAGAA